rnacentral:rRNA from 1 species
GCACGGAGUUUGCCGGUGCUUAUUCAUCUGGUACCGUCAACUAUCCAAGAAAAGAUAGAUUUCUUCCCAAAUGAAAGAAGUUUACAAUCCAAAGGACCUUCAUCCUCCACGCGGCAUGGCUGGUUCACACUUGCGUCCAUUGACCAAUAUUCCUUACUGCUGCCUCCCGUAGGAGUCGGGCCCGUGUCUCAGUGCCCGUGUGACUGGUCUUGCUCUCACGCCAGUUACGGAUCGGCAACUUGGUGGGCCGUUACCCCGCCAACUAUCUAAUCAACCGCACACCCAUCUUCAAGCGCAUUGCUGCUAUAAUAUAAAAGUGAUGCCACUUCUAUAUGUUACGGGGUAUUAAUCCGGGUUUCCCCGGGCUAUUCCCCACUUAAAGGAAGGUUGUGUACGUGUUCCGCACCCGUUUGCCGGUCGCCUGCAUUCCGAUUGCUCGGAACCUGCUGCCCCACUACUUGCAUGUAUUAAGCCUGCCGCUAGCGUUCAUC